rnacentral:rRNA from 1 species
AUUGAACGCUGGCGGCAUGCCUUACACAUGCAAGUCGAACGGUAACAGGUCUUCGGAUGCUGACGAGUGGCGAACGGGUGAGUAAUACAUCGGAACGUGCCUAGUAGUGGGGGAUAACUACUCGAAAGAGUGGCUAAUACCGCAUGAGAUCUACGGAUGAAAGCAGGGGAUCGCACGACCUUGUGCUACUAGAGCGGCCGAUGGCAGAGUAGGUAGUUGGUGGGAUAAAAGCUUACCAAGCCGACGAUCUGUAGCUGGUCUGAGAGGACGAUCAGCCACACUGGGACUGAGACACGGCCCAGACUCCUACGGGAGGCAGCAGUGGGGAAUUUUGGACAAUGGGCGCAAGCCUGAUCCAGCAAUGCCGCGUGCAGGAUGAAGGCCUUCGGGUUGUAAACUGCUUUUGUACGGAACGAAAAGCCCUGGGUUAAUACCCUGGGGUCAUGACGGUACCGUAAGAAUAAGCACCGGCUAACUACGCGCCAGCCGCCGCAGUAA